UUGUUAUGAUUUUCAUCAAUGAUACUCUGACUGUAGGUAUAAAGCUGAGUUUAAGUGGUCCACCGGGGGAACCUCUGAGAGGUAAUUAUGGCGACCCCGAGGCAAACACAGGAUUGUAGUACAAUGGGUUGGAGGUCGGCUCGAAAGCCUUCACUCUUUAAUGAUCCCUCCGCAGGUUCACCUGUAAUCACGUUAGUAUAUGUUUUUCAUUUGCGCAGAAGACGGAAGUUGUUACUCACCUACGGAGA
rnacentral:misc_RNA from 1 species